rnacentral:rRNA from 1 species
CCUACGGGUGGCAGCAGUGAGGAAUAUUGGUCAAUGGACGAGAGUCUGAACCAGCCAAGUAGCGUUAAGGAUGACUGCCCUAUGGGUUGUAAACUUCUUUUAUAUGGGAAUAAAAUGUUCCACGUGUGGGAUUUUGUAUGUACCAUAUGAAUAAGGAUCGGCUAACUCCGUGACAGCAGCCGCGGUAAUACGGAGGAUCCGAGCGUUAUCCGGAUUUAUUGGGUUUAAAGGGAGCGUAGGUGGAUUGUUAAGUCAGUUGUGAAAGUUUGCGGCUCAACCGGAAAAUUGCAGUUGAAACUGGCAGUCGUGAGUACAGCAGAGGUGGGCGGAAUGCGUGGUGUAGCGGUGAAAUGCGUAGAUAUCACGAAGAACUCCGAUUGCGAAGGCAGCUCACUGGACUGCAACUGACACUGAGGCUCGAAAGUGUGGUUAUCAAACAGGAUUAGAUACCCGAGUAGUC